GCCGCUGUAGCUCUAACUGGCUCAGAGCAACGCCCUUGUAAGGCGAAGGCUAUCGGUUCGAGUCCGGUCAGCGGCUCCA
rnacentral:tRNA from 1 species